rnacentral:siRNA from 1 species
GUCUACUCCUUUGGAAGUGCCUA